AAGCAUUUGAAUGUCAAAUUUCCGAAACCAUUACACAAUACAACUAAAUUCAAGAGAACCACAGCUACUGCUAGUCACGACCCUCCAGCCAUGAGGAGACGUCUCUGAUGAUCAUUAUGACACCGACGGCCGUUACGUGUACUUUCUUCGACGCGGUCCGCCGCGCGCGCAGCCGGGGCAGCCGGAUAGUGAUGGCACUUCUCGUCUUUACAUAUAUCGAUAAGAAAGUCAUCUACUAUCGAAAAACUGGUGUAGGGACAGCCAGUUUUUCGAUAGUCUAUAGUUUUCUUGUUUUAUCGAUGGUUGUUUUUGUUAUGCCAUGAAAAUCUAGUCAAGUGGGGUUUAUCCGGCAACAAUUUGAGUGACUGCGGUACUUUACAAUCUGGGCGCCUACCUUCAACUAUUACACAAUGAUUCAAAUGCAGGGCAGUUCAGUUUAGGAACCUAAAAUGAAUCGCGUUAUUUGGUACCACCAACUUAUCUUAACAAAGUCUCAUUUGAAUCGUAAGGAGCGAAUGAAAUUCAUAAAAAAAGUAAUUAUUGUCUCUGAAUCGUAAACCCCAGUGACAGCAGCCAAAUGUAAGAAAGAGAUAAGGCUAUACGAUCUCUAUAUAUUUUAUCUCGUUUCAAGAGUUGCCUUUUUGAGUAAACAAUGUGUAUUUUUUUGUUACUUAAAAUUAAAAUAUAUAUUAUUAUCUUUAUGUUAGUUACAUGACUAAAGUAGAUACAAAACACAAUAAAAUAAAAUAUUUCAUUUACAAUAAAUGCAAUAUAAUCUAGACUAACAACUUUGUCGAUCAUAAUUAUAACACUAAACACAAACUUCGGAACAUAAAAACCGUACCACGAUGGAGUUACGGUGGCAAAACUAGGAACUAUCAAUAACAGAUAGACCACGUCAUUGAUUUCAGCGACAGUAGCGCCACGUCUGUGGGACUUCUUUCGUGGUAAUCAAUCAGAAAUAGUAACAUUUUUUGAAUCGCGAAUUUUGACAGAU